CAGCUGUCUCCUAGAGCCUUAGAGUUUCAACUGUUAAAGUUAAGAAGAGAAAAGAAGAGACAUCCAUCAGUAGCUUCAUCUGGACAGCAUCAGCCGGAGGAGACAGACUGAGACCUAGAUGCUCUGGACAGGGGAAGAUGUUGGAGCAGAGAGGAUUGGUGCUGGAGCAGAGAACAGUUUGAAGGGGUAGAAACAAAGUGGAUUAGAGUUGGAGCAGAGAGCAGUUUGGAGGGAAGCAGAGGAAAGUUUGGAGAAGUGCUGCGGUGGGCUAAGAAGACCAAGACCCUAGUGGAACAGCUUCAAUGAGGAGGUUGAGGGAGCUUCCCUCACACAUCAGCUCAGUGGUGACAGCACUGCACUGCUUUCCCGUUGACUCGAGUACCCGACUGGAAUAAGAAGCAUAAGG